rnacentral:lncRNA from 1 species
GGGCGACACGGACGGCGAGGACGCGGGGGACACGGGUGACAGCGAGGACAAACACGCGGGCACAAGGGACGGCGGCGCCCAGCACACGCGGUGCCCGUGACGCUCCCCCCCCACCCAGGACUGUGCGCACACGUGACGCCACGGACACGUGACACCAUGGACAUGUGACACCGAGGACAUGUGACACCGAGGACACGCGGCGUCCCCAAAAUAAAGGACUGUCUCCACCCGCGGUGCCGUGGCCACGUGGUGUCGGGGACACACGAUGCCCGUGCGUGUCCCCACCCUGCACAUACGAGCACACGCGUGUUGCGACGCGUGACGCCGGGGACACGCGAUGGCCAUGUGUCCCCCCCCAAAAAAAACCCACGCACACGUGGUCGGAGCUGGGUCUUUAUUGCCCCCCCGCGGGGGCCGGAGCGGGGACACGCGUGUGCGCACGCCUGGACACGCGUGUGCGCCCGGGAACACGCGUGUGGGGGCAGCCGGGGGUCAGGCACCCCGGGGGGCUCCCAGUCCCUCCCAGUUCCCUCCCAGUGCCCAUCCCAGUGCCCCCAGUUCCCUCCCAGUCCCUCCCAGUGCUCCCAGUUCCCCUCCCAGUGCUCCCAGCGUCGCUCCCACCCCCCCUCCCAGCACCCCUCGUGCCUCUCCCAGUGCUCCCAGUGCCCUCAAAGCCGCUCCCAGUGUCUCCCAUUGCCUAUCCCAGUGCUCCCAGUCUCCCCAGUGCCCGUCCCAUGUCACUCCCAGUCACCCCCAGUGCCCCCCCCAAUGCCCCCAGUGCCCUUGUGUCACUCCCAGUUGCCCCCAGUGCCCCAGUCGCUCCCAGCGCCCACCCCAGUCACCCCCAGUGCCCAUCCCAGUGCCCCCAGUGCUCCCAGUCCCUUCCAGUGCCCAUCCCAGUGCCCCCAGUUUCCCCCAGUGCCCGUCCCAGUGGCUCCCAGUCCCUUCCAGUACCUGUCCCAGUGGCUCCCAGUGCUCCCAGUUGCCCACAGUGGCUGUCCCAGUGGCUCCCAGUGUCCCCAGUUGCCCCCAGUGCCCAUCCCAGUGCUCCCAGUCCCUCCCAGUGGCUCCCAGUCCCUCCCAGUGCCCGUCCCAGUGCUCCCAGUCGCCCCCAGUGCCCGUCCCAGUGGCUCCCAGUCGCUGUCCCAGUUGCCCCCAGUGCCCAUCCCAGUGCUCCCAAUGCCCGUCCCAGUGCUCCCAGUGCCUCCCAGUGCCCGUCCCGGCGGGGGGCUCACGCGUUCAUGCUCUUGCCGCUGCCGCUGAGGACGAUGUAGGGCGUCUUCUGGGCCUUCUGCUUCUCCUGCAGCAGCGCCACGGUGCCCAGCGGGGUGUCGCUCGAGCUCAUCUUCUUCAGCAGCUGCCCCCCGAAAACGGGGUACGUCACCCCCAAAACGGGCA